rnacentral:RNase_P_RNA from 1 species
UGAGUAAAUCAGAUGGUCGCGGGGGCAUUUAUUGCCAACGAGGAAAGUCCGAGCUCCAUAGGGCAGGGUGCUGGGUAAUACCCAGUGGAGGUGACUCCAAGGAAAGUGCAACAGAGAGAUACCGCCACUAGAGGUUAGAGGUCAGAGAUCAGAAGCCAGAUUUAAGGGAAAAGCUUUAAAGAAAUCGUUCAUUUCAGGCUACUGCUUUCCGACUUCUAACUUCUAGUAGGUAAGGGUGGAAAGGUGAGGUAAGAGCUCACCAGCAGCUAGGUGACUAGCUGGCUAUGUAAACCCCACCUGGAGCAAGACCAAGUAGGGACAAAAAAGCGGCUGCCCGUCGUGUCCCGUGGUAGGUUGCUUGAGCCGUCUGGCAACAGCCGGCCUAGACAGAUGACCGUCAAAUACAGAACUCGGCUUAUAGAUUUGCUCGCUAU